rnacentral:rRNA from 1 species
GGCUCAGGAUGAACGCUAGCUACAGGCUUAACACAUGCAAGUCGAGGGGCAGCAUGAACUUAGCUUGCUAAGUUUGAUGGCGACCGGCGCACGGGUGAGUAACACGUAUCCAACCUGCCGAUGACUCGGGGAUAGCCUUUCGAAAGAAAGAUUAAUACCCGAUGGCAUAGUCCUUCCGCAUGGUAGAACUAUUAAAGAACUUCGGUCAUCGAUGGGGAUGCGUUCCAUUAGGUUGUUGGCGGGGUAACGGCCCACCAAGCCUUCGAUGGAUAGGGGUUCUGAGAGGAAGGCCCCCCACAUUGGAACUGAGACACGGUCCAAACUCCUACGGGAGGCAGCAGUGAGGAAUAUUGGUCAAUGGACGAGAGUCUGAACCAGCCAAGUAGCGUGAAGGAUGACUGCCCUAUGGGUUGUAAACUUCUUUUAUACGGGAAUAAAGUGAGGCACGUGUGCCUUUUUGUAUGUACCGUAUGAAUAAGGAUCGGCUAACUCCGUGCCAGCAGCCGCGGUA